CCGAAGGGUGGUGGCUCUGACACUGGCUUUGUCUCCUGCUGGUGACCACGCACCUCAGGGCCCCGGCACAAAGCUCUGCCUCAGAUGGGGACUUUUGCUUCGUGAUCCCCAGGGGCUGGGCAGAGGUGCCCUGGGACACCAGGGUGUGGGACACCUGGGACACUGUGGUGUGAGUGGGGAUGGAGAGCGAGGAAGGCCGAGGGAGGUGAGGAGCACCCAGCCGGGUAGGAUGGCUGCAAGGACAGCUCUGCUGCUGGCACCAGAGGGCACCAGAAGGCCUUCAUCUGAUCCCCAGGGCAGCUAAUUUAGCUGGGUUUGCUUUAAUGAAGGAUCUGAGCAAGAUGCUUUUUGGCUCUCAGCUGGAAUAGAGAAAUCACCACAUCUCAGCUUUUGGGAGACUAAUACAUGGGAAAAACAUCUGUUCCUUUGGCAGAGUGGUAAUAACAGACUGCAAGCCGUAAAGGAGGAAGGUGGACGUGAUGUCGCCCGCUCUGGAGACCUGAACUUUGCAGCUGCUGAGGUGUGUUGAGGUGCAGAGAAAGGAAAGUCCUAAGAAGGACCAGGACAAUGCACUCAGCAGCAGGUAAUCAACUUAACAGAGAGAAGAUCAUCCUUGGAACACAACAGAGCUGUCCGCCUUCUGUAGGAGCAGAAAAUGGCGAAGAGUUUGAGGAAGUUUUUGACCACAGGCACUGAACUAAAUCUACAAGGCCCUUGACAAGGGACUGGUCAGGGAACAAAGUGAUGCUUGGUUACCCAUCUCUGAGUCCUGGGAUGUUUCCGCAUGUGUCUUGGAAAUAGCAAGUGAUGCUCGCUGUUGGAGAGGGACUGGCAGGUUGAACUUAGCUGUGCUGGUGACCCUGGCUGGCAAUUUUCUGUGGAACAUGUUUUUUUGCAAUGUUAGAUUACGUUCCUGUGAAACGAGCAAUUUCAGAUGCUGUGAUGUUUUUUCUUUUUGUCGCCAGAAAUAUGAAAUGGGAGGAAAGCAUGAAAUGGGGCUGCCACAGUGCUCCAAGGGAGCUGUGGUGCUGCGCUGGCUAGCAGAGAAUGAGCAGCCCCUGUAAGUAGAAGCUAUUAACUCUGCUCUCCCUCUGGGUCUGUCUCAGCCCUCAGUUUCCCAACACACCUGGUGGUACCACAUUUUGUGGUACAUGCCCUAGGUGCAGCCAAAUUCCCCUGCUUCCUCCCAGGCCUGUGACCAGAGGCCCUGCCCUGGCUCAGGGACAUCUCUUCAGUGCAAGACCAACAUGGUGGGAAUCUGUGUUUUUGGUGGGACUGUUGUCCUCUGGUCCUUCAAAGCGUGCAUGUAUGAGGGUGAAAGGUGCUCAGAAGUGAGGAGGAGGCUCUGGCAGUGGCAACAGAGCUGCAGGAGGGGAAUGGGCCUCCCUGAAGCUCACCCAGCUCCUACACAGUGAUCAGGCCUUCCCACACCUUUCUUGAGGUUGUUGGAGGUUGUGCUGAGCUUUCUGAGACAGGAGGGUGACAGGCUUAGAGAGUCUCAGCAGAGACCAGCAAGUGGCUUUCUCUGUCAAGAACAGCCUUUCCCCACAGAACGUUAAUUACUUCCUCAAAAUCUGCCUGGGAAGACCCAUGGCUGGGAUGAAUAACAUGAAGCAAAACGAGUUUGAGACCCUGCAGGGUUUCUGUGUGAGAAAGAUGGAGAAAUUCAAGUGUGAGUUGAAAACCAAAACACAUGAAAGCUCCAGGAGGUUGCUCUUUUCCUUCCAGCGGCCUGCUGAGCCAGAGGGGCUGGGACAGCCUAAGGGACAUUCACAGUGUGAGGCACGAGGUGCAAGCAGCCAUCACGGGACACUUUGGGCAUUAUGCUAUGGUCCUUACCUCUUCCUCUCCUCCUUUAUGUGUGUGACAGAGAGCAGUACUUGAGCUGCCUUGCAGGGAGCACAGGGUCAGGAUAACAUCGUGACUGUGAGUGUGUGGCUGCUGGCACCAAACAUGAGCUGUGAGGGGGAGAUGGAGAGUUGAGGAGAAGAAAAAGUUCAUGGGAACUAGAGGUUUUGUGGUGCAGCAAGGUGUGCUUAUCAAUUUGUCCAGCAAUAUUUUUUGUUGGGGUAAAAAGACUUGGAGAAGAUUGGCAGGGCAAGUUUACAAGCUUUAAGGAGGCUUAAGCCUGUGGAAGUAUAAAUGUCUUUUGCAUAUUUACCCUCAUCUUGUAGGAUGGCUUUAUCUAAUGAGAGGCUUUGUCAAUUAACCUGAACACAUGCUCUCUUGUCAAGGGCUGCUUGCUUGUAGGAAGACAUGUUUUUCAGAAAACCAAGGAACCAAGGCAUUUGCAUUCAGUAAAAGUGAAAACUUUUACAGAAAACUCAGUAAAUCUCUUGUGUCAUUGAAGGGCUGGGGACGUUUAUCUUUUCUCUCAUGUGUUAACAUAUUUUUCUUGGUGAUAUAACAGGGUAAGAAGGAUAAGGUGAAGUAGAGCUGAGCUAUUGAAUCCGCGAGGCAAACUUCUUCUCCAAAUGGGGCUGGGGGCCCAGGACCCCACAAACCCUGUGCUGCACUGUGGGCAGGAGUCCCCCUUGGGCUUAAUAAAAGACAAUACAUGUUGACCUUGGAGCAUGCUGAGCUUGGCACAAUGCUAGGCCCUUUCGGGAUUCAACCAGAAGCAACAGAAUUUGUUUCCUUCCCUCUGGCCUCCCAGACACGGGAAGGGAGCAGCAUUGUUCACGACAGUGCUUAGUGCCAAGCUGAAUGUCAGCCUCCUGUCAGUGCAAAUGUAGUUUCCAUCCUAGAGCUUCCUUUAGAUCCAAUUAGCAUCAAAUGGUAAAUCAUCUCCAAUAGCUUGGUGUCUGCCUGACCUCAGCGCUGGGACCAUGCCGCUAAACUCCACAAACCUGCAAGAAAGCCAGAAUCAGUAACUAAGAGGGCUUUCUCUUGAUUAAUGGCCCGUGACCUGCAAGUCAACACCUAUUUAAUUUUAUUUUAUUAUCUGUCUUCUGUAGCUCAGUUUAAACAGGAGAAUCAACUGAGUACCGAAAGCCAAUUCACAAGGAGCUCUUGUGCAUGUGUGAACAGGAAAUCUUUUUGCUUUGUUUUGGAUUUAUUUCAUUUUGUUUUGCAGAAAGUGCAGCUGUUAAUGAGGAGCUUUUGGGAGUUGAACAGCCAGCUGUCAAGCUGCUGGGAUGUCUUACACGUCAGUCCUGUCACACAAAAUCCCCAUCCAGAGGGCUGAGUUCUGUUAUUAGCAGCUGCAGACAGUGUUAACACAUUGACAACUCCUGCUGAGUGCAAUGACACUGGAUUAGGCUCGAAAAUCUUCUCCCAGGCAAUAUCCAGGCAGUAUAUAAAUGCCUAGUGGCACUGGGGCCAGCCUGAUCCUGGGAUCAAGUAAGCUAUACCCCGACGAGCAGCAAGUGUUGCCCACGUGCUCUGCUCCUUCAGGGAGCAGGGAGAAGAGCUGUUCCAUUGCAGCUGAGCAGGGAUUUGAGAAAAUCUGCAUGAAGCUGUGAGUAGGAUUGGGGAAGUGCACUGCAUGCUGAUUUAGAGUAGGAAUCAGGUGCAUAGAGCAGAGAGGAGGACCAUGGAGGAAAGGUCUUUCUGAUCAUUUUUGGAGAGGCAGAAAGGUUGAAUGCGGAUAGAGUUGGUGCAGAUAAGCACACAGGGAAGAAAAUCUGGAUCCUGCAGUGUCAUCACAAGUUGAAUCAGUGGAGAAUGGUGUUCUUAGCAAGCACUUUUCCAUUGCUUGGUUAUCUAGAGACAUCUAGGUAGGAAUGUGCUUUGAGACAGUUUUGGAGAGAACAAGUUAAUGGGGUGUGUAGGCAGCAUAAGACAAAUGCAGAAUUUUUGGUAGUUGUGUGGAAAAGCAGUCACAUUCCUUCCAGUCCCAGUACAGUCCUUGAAGAAAGCUUUUCUUCAAGGAUCUGACUGUGUGCAAGACACAAGAACAAAGGUCCUCUGCACAGCACGUGGGUGGCACUGCAGUCAGAGGAGCAUGAAUGCUUCCCCUAGAUGCACACUUCAUGUCCUGCCUGUUGGAGGGGACAGCUGUAAGCUGUCCUUGGGAACGGAGGGGAAGUGCUGGAGGACAAAAGCACCAUUGCAUCACCAUCAGCUGCACCCACAAGGUAAUGCAGCUGCCCUCAUGGAAACCACAGUUUCGCCUUCCUUCUGUAUCAGCUGAACAGACCCACGUUCACAACACAUGUAAGUAUUUCUUCCUCUUAAAAAUAAAUAAAUAAAUAAAACAAAACAACAACAAAACUGGGAUCCUCCUGAGCAAGGCCGUCUCACCAUCUUUCCACUGCAACAGUGGAGGAUGUUCCCUUAUGGACAAUUCCUAUGCAAAUCACAAUAAUCAUUUUAUAGUCAAUAAUAAUCAGGUGUUUUUAGAGAAAUAAUGGGCUGAUAAAGCACUUUUUUUUUUUUUUUUUUUUUUUUUGUGGUUCAUUUGUACUUCAUGUGGCCUUUCCUGCUCUAGUCCUUGCCGAAUGGGAGACACAUAUUUUCUCCGAGCUAGAGAAAAACUACAGCAGUGGGCCAGGACUGGUCCCAUGCUGUGCUGUGGAACCUGAAUAAGACUGCAGGCCCGUUUAUUGUGUCAGAAAUAAGGCUGAUGAAAUGGCUGCCCAGGGAAAGGAGGUUUUAGUGGGCUUUUUAAUAGGAAAAGAUGUAAUAUCCAGUGCCUGGAAAGUAAAGUUUGCAAUCAAAAAAAAAAAGAAAAAUCAAUCUGGAAAUACAAUGUAGAUUUUUAGGAGUUAGAAUAAUCAGACAUGGAGACAGAUUGCUAAGAGACUGGAUUCUCCAUCACUGUGAGUCUCUAAAUUAAGGCAACAUCUUCAGGUUCUUUCUCCUAGGACAGAGCCUGUCUUGGCAUGGAGGCAUCCAGGAGAGAGAGAAGCAACAGGACUGAGAAGGUGAGAAAGCUGAGCAGCACAAACUUAACAAAGGAACCAAAAAAUCCCACAACAGGCUCCCCUGUGGCCACUUCCCUGGGUGAGUUCGGUGGGAGCAAGGGUGGAGGAGGAUGACAGUAGAGUUAGCAGAGCACUGUG